rnacentral:lncRNA from 1 species
AUUCAGAACUCGCUGAAGCUCUGGUGCAGUGAUGCAGCCUGGCCCCGUUGUGGUAUUUCCACCGGUUCCCACAGGACUUGGGGUUUGCAGUGGGCUUGAUAUUUUGGUCCCUUGGGGCCUUCCUGCUCUUCUCUCAAAAUCUGCAGACACAAGACUGCCUGCUCUGCCUUGAGAGUUGCUACUGCCAGUGGUGCUGUCUUUGCCCUCCUGAAACCUCUGGGGAUAGAGUUGCUGUGCUGGCUCUCUGCGCUCGGAAAACUCAUGGGGUGGAUUCCCAUUAAAACUCAUUAAUGGACUCCCAUUAAAACUUCUGCUGCUAGCGUGGGCUUCCUUAUCAGAAAAUGUGAAACUGGGCAAAGGCAUGCCAUAUAAUCUCCUAGGAGGUAGCCAGUGACUACAACCUGUUUUCUAAAGCAAUGCCUCCUGGACCGGUUGUGAUCAUCUCUCAGGGUGGCAUCUUAUUUGUGCAUGCCUGAGCCUUGGUGUCUGCCAGACACACUAAAUGUGGUUAACUGCAAAGAAACUCACUGUUCUCUCACAUUUACCGUUUAUCACAAGGCCAGCAAGGUGAACUAUCUACAGGAGCUGCACGGGGACAAGUUUAGUGCCCAACAUCUUCAGAAUAACAGUACUGGAAGCAGCUGAAGGCAGGAGAAUUAACAAGUGGUGGGAGACGUAAGACCAAUUUUAGGAGCUCCAGGCUUGUUCCUUAGUUCUUAAGUAAUGUUUGAAAGAUGACUGGAGAUGCUCAUCAUGAAGGUGUCCUGUUCCUGAUUUCCACUUCCAGACAUGGAAAGACCACGCUGUGUCCAGGGAAACCGGGAGCCCUAGGGAGGACCAAGGGCUGAUGUUUCGUUUAUGGUGUGGCACUGUCCUGGAUGCCGCAGGUCAUGCGAACAUCCUGCUUGAAAGUUUCAUCUCCGUUCCCCUGUGGAGCUGAUUAAAGGACUCCUCCGCCUCUUGCAAAACCUAGCACUUAUAAAUCUCUGCUGUUGGAUGCCAUAUCCAUACUGAGGUGGUGUUAAGUCAUAAGUCACUGGGGGUCCAUAGCAUUGCUUCAGGGAGACACAGUGGCUUUUUGCCCAAAGGCUGUUUCAACAAGUGAAUAAUUUUUAGAAGAGUUACUGAGCAGGUGGAUCUCAAGGACCAGCCAGACUCAUAGUUUAAUGCAUGGUUGUACACAUACACACCUAUACAUACAUACUUUGCUAUUCAAGGAGUAGUUCUGUUUGUUGAGGAAAGCCUAAAAUUGAACCAGAUCAAUGAAGUAACUUCAUCACUGAGUGCCGCAGCAUCCCUGAGCCUUG